rnacentral:snoRNA from 1 species
AAGACUAUAUUUUCAGGCAUCAUUUCUAUAGUUUGUUACUAGAGAAGUUUCUCUGAACGUGUGGAGCACUAAAAUGCUA